UACAGAGGGUGCAAGCGUUGUUCGGAAUUAUUGGGCGUAAAGGGCUCGUAGGCGGUUUGUCGCGUCGGGAGUGAAAACCAUGGGCUUAACUCAUGGCUUGCUUCCGAUACGGGCAGACUAGAGGUAUGCAGGGGAGAACGGAAUUCCUGGUGUAGCGGUGAAAUGCGCAGAUAUCAGGAGGAACACCGGUGGCGAAGGCGGUUCUCUGGGCAUUACCUGACGCUGAGGAGCGAAAGUGUGGGGAGCGAACAGG
rnacentral:rRNA from 1 species